rnacentral:rRNA from 1 species
ACGAGAAGGGCCCGCAUGGGCACUUUCUGGAAAGUUUUUCGGUUGGGGAUGGGCUCGCGGCCUAUCAGCUUGUUGGUGAGGUAAUGGCUCACCAAGGCGACGACGGGUAGCCGGCCUGAGAGGGCGACCGGCCACACUGGGACUGAGACACGGCCCAGACUCCUACGGGAGGCAGCAGUGGGGAAUAUUGCACAAUGGGCGAAAGCCUGAUGCAGCGACGCCGCGUGAGGGAUGACGGCCUUCGGGUUGUAAACCUCUUUCAGCAGGGAAGAAGCGAAAGUGACGGUACCUGCAGAAGAAGCACCGGCUAACUACGUGCCAGCAGCCGCGGUAAUACGUAGGGUGCGAGCGUUGUCCGGAAUUAUUGGGCGUAAAGAGCUUGUAGGCGGUUUGUCGCGUCUGCUGUGAAAAUCCGGGGCUCAACCCCGGACUUGCAGUGGGUACGGGCAGACUAGAGUGUGGUAGGGGAGACUGGAAUUCCUGGUGUAGCGGUGAAAUGCGCAGAUAUCAGGAGGAACACCGAUGGCGAAGGCAGGUCUCUGGGCCACUACUGACGCUGAGAAGCGAAAGCAUGGGGAGCGAACAGGAUUAGAUACCCUGGUAGUCCAUGCCGUAAACGUUGGGCGCUAGGUGUGGGACUCAUUCCACGAGUUCCGUGCCGCAGCUAACGCAUUAAGCGCCCCGCCUGGGGAGUACGGCCGCAAGGCUAAAACUCAAAGGAAUUGACGGGGGCCCGCACAAGCGGCGGAGCAUGCGGAUUAAUUCGAUGCAACGCGAAGAACCUUACCAAGGCUUGACAUAUACCGGAAACUUCCAGAGAUGGUUGCCCCCUUUGGGUCGGUAUACAGGUGGUGCAUGGUUGUCGUCAGCUCGUGUCGUGAGAUGUUGGGUUAAGUCCCGCAACGAGCGCAACCCUCGUUCUAUGUUGCCAGCACGUUAUGGUGGGGACUCAUGGAAGACUGCCGGGGUCAACUCGGAGGAAGGUGGGGAUGACGUCAAAUCAUCAUGCCCCUUAUGUCUUGGGCUUCACGCAUGCUACAAUGGCCGGUACAAAGGGCUGCGAUGCCGUAAGGUGGAGCGAAUCCCAAAAAACCGGUCUCAGUUCGGAUUGGGGUCUGCAACUCGACCCC